rnacentral:rRNA from 1 species
CCCUUAGAUGUUCUGGGCCGCACGCGCGCUACACCGAUGAACGCAACGAGACGACCUGUACCGAAAGGCAUGGGUAAACUUGUGAAAGUUCAUCGUGAUGGGGAUAGAUUAUUGCAAUUAUUAAUCUUCAACGAGGAAUUCCUAGUAAGCGCGAGUCAUCAGCUCGCGUUGAUUACGUCCCUGCCCUUUGUACACACCGCCCGUCGCUCCUACCGAUUGAAUGGUCCGGUGAAAUCUUCGGAUUGCUGGAUAGGAGGGCAACCACCUAUCUGCGAGAAGUUGCUUGAACCUUAUCAUUUAGAGGAAGGAGAAGUCGUAACA